CAAUAGCGUGUAUUAAAGUUGUUGCAGUUAAAAAGCUCGUAGUUGGAUUUCUGGUGGGAGCGAUCGGUCUGGCGCUUAGCGCGAGUACUUGCAUCGUCUCCGGCCAUCCUUGGGGAGAGUCUGUCUGGCAUUAGGUUGUCGGGCAGAGGAUCCUCAUCGUUUACUGUGAAAAAAUUAGAGUGUUCAAAGCAGGCUUAUGCCGUUGAAUAUAUUAGCAUGGAAUAAUAAGAUAGGACUUUGGUACUAUUUUGUUGGUUUGCGCACCAAAGUAAUGAUUAAUAGGGACAGUUGGGGGUAUUCGUAUUCCGUUGUCAGAGGUGAAAUUCUUGGAUUUACGGAAGACGAACUACUGCGAAAGCAUUUACCAAGGAUGUUUUCAUUAA
rnacentral:rRNA from 1 species